rnacentral:lncRNA from 10 species
CUGCGUGGGCGGAACCAAGAGCCUGGCGGGGGGUUCUCCUGAAUGGCGGUUCUCCCAGGUACUGGCCACGCGACCCCAGCCCCCGCCCCAGAUAGCUCCCUGUCAAGGCUUCCCUGGGCGCGGCCGCCUUCUAGGCCCCGGCCCUUGACACACGCGGUGUCCUCCCGGGGAAACCCCGAGUAGGCGCGGUGGAAUCGCGGCUGGUGGUGGGCAUGGGGACCCUGCCCCAUCCACACUCCGCUCCCACCCUGAACCCAGCGCCCCCGGGGACCCCCGACUCACCUAGACUCCCCACCCAACCCGACCCCCCCGCGGGGACCCCUCCAGACACCCCAGCACCCGCCCGGAGCCUUGUCUGCUGCACCUCCCGUCCAGCCCCGGGCCUCCCAGAGGUGGGCGGGAGCUGAGCUUCUCCCCAGCCAGUCACUCCCCACGGCCGGUCCUUCUCCACCCCAGAACCUCCAGAGAUGUCACAGGCCCAGCACUGUGGCUCGUGGCUGACCGCGCCCUGGAGGGUCUCGCUGUGUUUAUCCUUGUGAGGUCCUUCUACAGAGCUUUCAAGGAAGACAGAGUUCAGCCUGUUUAUUGGGAAGACUUUAAUCCUGCUCAAGACAUCUACUGUGUCACCGUACCACUGUGGCCCAGCGCCUGGUGGAGUGAAUCCAGACCCCCAGGGGUGUCCCCUCCCCGCCUUUCUCCUGGUGUCUAGGGGCACCCAGAAACCCUCACCCCAGAUUAGACCAGCUCGUUGGCAACAUCCCUGGGCUGUCAGUGGGACUGAGACUUAAACUUCAAUUCCCACGUGUUCACUGUUAUUAGAUAAAAACGCCAUUGACACGUGUGUGCCAAUCUUGUAUCCUGUGACACUGCUGAACUCAUGGACUAGUUAUAGGUUAUAGACUGAAAACAUCAUCAUCAUUUCUGACCCUAAUGCCUCGACAGACACAGAAGGCCUCACACCUCUGCCCUCCCCCAAAGAUGUCACGGGAAACGUCAACAGAACAUCCUUGUCACCACUUCAUUUUCACCCACACAGCAUUUUGACGUGUUGCAGAAACACAGCACAGCACUGGCAGGUGUUCUGCAGGAAGACACGUGUGUGAAUAAUGUGUCCAUAAAAACAAUGUAAAACAAUUGACAAAAAUGACAAUUAGUAUCAGGAGGCUUGGCCGCUGGGGGAAGAUGUAAAACCAGGCUAGAAUCUCAGCUGUACCCACCGCUGUGCUCUGGGGCAACUCACGGGAGCAUGUUCUCCACCAAUUUGCGAUGGAAUGAGGUCAUUACUGGACACGAUGGCUGCAAGACAACGCUUCCAUAUUUCCCAUAACAGCCAUGUCUGCUGCCUGACAAAUGUUGGAAGGACAGACAGGCCGAGACCGGAGGGGUCUGUGCCACACCCCGGACUCCCACCCUCUUAAUAAAUCCAGGGCUUGGUUUUCACUGCUUUGUCUGGAUGAGCCAAUCAGCAAGGGAUGCACCUGAGCCUCUGUGUGAACUGUGCAGAGCUCUGCAUGCAAGACCACUAUGGAAUACGCCACUUCCAUGCAUGGAACACACAACUUCCACAUAUGGAACACAUCACCUCCAGGCAUGGAACAUGCCACCUCCAGGCAUGGAACACACCACCUCCACAUGUGGAACACAGAUCCUCCACAUAUGGAACACACCACCUCCUGGCAUGGAACAUGCAACCUCCACAUAUAGAACACACCACCUCCUGGCAUGGAACAUGCAACCUCCACAUAUGGAACAUGCCAUCUCCACGUAUGGAACACGCCAUCUCCACAC